rnacentral:rRNA from 1 species
UACGUAGGGUCCGAGCGUUGUCCGGAAUUAUUGGGCGUAAAGAGCUCGUAGGCGGUUUGUCGCGUCUGCUGUGAAAUCUAGAGGCUCAACCUCUAGCCUGCAGUGGGUACGGGCAGACUUGAGUGGUGUAGGGGAGACUGGAAUUCCUGGUGUAGCGGUGGAAUGCGCAGAUAUCAGGAGGAACACCGAGUGGCGAAGGCAGGUCUCUGGGCACUUACUGACGCUGAGGAGCGAAAGCGUGGGGAGCGAACAGG